rnacentral:lncRNA from 7 species
GUGUGAUAUAUACCAUCAGUUGCUCUGCUAUUGUUUUAAUGAUAUAUAGCACACAUUGUGGAUGAAGAACGACUUCGUUUCCAUGAAAUUCAUAUUCCACACACAAAAUAUUGGGCAUGAGAAGCGUUGGGAAGUUUCAUCCAUUAUUAACUUGAUGGGAGCUCAGGUGCAACUAGUGACAUAGAAACUACCUUGACCAUUGAUGCUACUUGGAUAAUUUUCUAUUCACAAUACUUCUUUAUGUAGCCUGUGACAUAAUUAAAGCUCAAUGAGUUUAGAGCCUUUGACCGAUGCAAGUACAAUAUGUAGCCUGUGACAUAAUUAAGUACAAAAUGUACGCUAAGGGCUAGUUGGUGGCGAAAAGCAUCUUCACCCUCGGCCAUAGGCAAAGAAGGAACUAAGUCGAAAAAGAAAGUGGGAUGAAGAAGGAAUGGAGACAAAAAAAAGAGCGAAGACGAAAAAAACUUUUUUGACUAUUGUACUAAAAAAUAUGCACUACUCCUUUUGGAUUUAAUAAAGUGUCUCGACUUUAAGAAGAAAAAAGAAACUACUGUAUAUAUGGGCAUAUGUCCCAUUGAAAAGAACAAUUGUUACUAUUUGUAAUUAUGUCUCUUUGC